rnacentral:rRNA from 1 species
CGUAGGGACCAAGCGUUGUUCGGAUUUACUGGGCGUAAAGGGCGCGUAGGCGGCGUGGUAAGUCAGCUGUGAAAUCUCCGAGCUUAACUCGGAACGGUCAGCUGAUACUGCUGUGCUAGAGUGCAGAAGGGGCAAUCGGAAUUCUUGGUGUAGCGGUGAAAUGCGUAGAUAUCAAGAGGAACACCUGAGGUGAAGACGGGUUGCUGGGCUGACACUGACGCUGAGGCGCGAAAGCUAGGGUAGCAGACGGGAUUAGAUACCCCGGUAGUCCUAGCCCUAAACGAUGAAUACUUGGUGUCUGGAGUUUUAAUUCUCCGGGUGCCGUCGCUAACGUUUUUAGUAUUCCGCCUGGGGAGUACGCACGCAAGUGUG